AACGAACGCUGGCGGCAUGCCUAACACAUGCAAGUCGAACGAGACCUUCGGGUCUAGUGGCGCACGGGUGAGUAACGCGUGGGAACCUACCCUUAUGUUCGGAAUAACUCCCCGAAAGGGGUGCUAAUACCGGAUAAUGUCUUCGGACCAAAGAUUUAUCGCCUUUGGAUGGGCCCGCGUUGGAUUAGCUAGUUGGUAGGGUAAAAGCCUACCAAGGCGACGAUCCAUAGCUGGUCUGAGAGGAUGAUCAGCCACACUGGGACUGAGACACGGCCCAGACUCCUCCGGGAGGCAGCAGUGGGGAAUAUUGGAAAAUGGGCGAAAGCCUGAUCCAGCAAUGCCGCGUGAGUGAUGAAGGCCUUAGGGUUGUAAAGCUCUUUUACCCGGGCUGAUAAUGACGGUACCGGGAGAAUAAGCGCCGGCUAACUCCGUG
rnacentral:rRNA from 1 species